rnacentral:rRNA from 1 species
AUUGAACGCUGGCGGCAGGCCUAACACAUGCAAGUCGAACGGUAACAGGAAGCAGCUUGCUGCUUUGCUGACGAGUGGCGGACGGGUGAGUAAUGUCUGGGAAACUGCCUGAUGGAGGGGGAUAACUACUGGAAACGGUAGCUAAUACCGCAUAACGUCGCAAGAACAAAGAGGGGGACCUUAGGGCCUCUUGCCAUCGGAUGUGCCCAGAUGGGAUUAGCUAGUAGGUGGGGUAACGGCUCACCUAGGCGACGAUCCCUAGCUGGUCUGAGAGGAUGACCAGCCACACUGGAACUGAGACACGGUCCAGACUCCUACGGGAGGCAGCAGUGGGGAAUAUUGCACAAUGGGCGCAAGCCUGAUGCAGCCAUGCCGCGUGUAUGAAGAAGGCCUUCGGGUUGUAAAGUACUUUCAGCGGGGAGGAAGGGAGUAAAGUUAAUACCUUUGCUCAUUGACGUUACCCGCAGAAGAAGCACCGGCUAACUCCGUG